UAUCCAACCAAACCCAAUAUCCUAGAACUCUCCAACAGUUUCUUUUAUACAUUUAUUUACUCCCAGUCAGUAUAUUUUGAAGGAUUUGUGUGGGUUUAAUUCAUCUUCUCCACUAGAUCAGUAACUUUUCUUUAAUCUUCUUCCACUUCUUUUCAAAAAAAUAAAAUGAUUUCAUGUUGAAUGAGUGUUCCAACUUCAGAUCUGAUUUUCUUCCACUUUUUCCCCUCAAUUAUUUUCCCAAGCCUACUACCAUUUCCAAAUUUCAUGUCUGAAAUAUAUGGGUCAUUGUAUUUGAAAGAGAUUAUUUAUGUCAAACUAUCUCCCCAAUGUUCUUUGGCUUAAUCCUUUUUCUUCUGUUAUUUUUGUAUGAUCUUUAUUUAUGUUUUGAAUUUGAGUAUUAAUAAUAUGUCUACUAUAUAGAAAAGGCAAAGAUGGUAGAAAUUCGAAAAAAUAAAAGUAUGAGGGAAAUGCUAAAAUGAGAGAAAAAAAAAGAUUUUUCUAAAAACUUUUGUAUUAGAGAUCCAAAGAAGAGAGUUUUAACCAAAAGAGAGAGAAAAAAGGACUCAAUAACAACUGGGGGUGGUGGGGGGAACUACUUUUACUAUGGUGGACCUUGUAGAAAUCCUAAUUGUCCAUGACCAUGAUUCUAAGUAUUUCUAAUUAAUUUUUUUUACUCUUUUGAUGUAGUAAAAUUGGUAAUGUAGACAUUGAGUCCUUUGUAUGGUCAUUGUUUUAAUCUUUGUAAAACUUUUAUUUUUUAGGGGCUAAGUUAGUGCAGGCAAAUAUGUAUCAUCUUUGGUCUUUGUAUGAAAAGUUUUUCACCUUUCUUUUUAGGCCACCAGUCUCUACAUAAAAAUGUUGUUGGGAACAGAAUGGAGGGGUGAAGUUUCUUAGAAUAAAAAGAAAUAAUCCCCCUUUAGAUGUAACAUUUUGUUUGUUCCUGUCUUAGGAGUCAUAUGUUUAUCAAUAGAGGAGAUUCAUAUAUUGUAAUUUUCCCUUUUAGUAUUAGUGAUAUUUAGUGAUGUUGAGGGGUGAAGUUUCUUAGAAUAAAAGAAAUAAUCUCCCUUUUAGAUGUAACAUUGUAGUUGUUUGUUUUCUCAUGUUUUAGGAGCCAUAUGUUUAUCAAUAGAGGAGAUUCAUAUGUUGUGGUUUUCCUUUUUAGUAUUAGUGAUUUUUGGAAAGCAUGAAAACUUCUCAUGGUAAACAUCUAAAAAAUUAAGUUAAUUCUCACAAGAAAUCAAAGGUAUAAGGGAAAUACGAAUAUGGAAGGAAAAAAAAGGACUUUUCUAAAAACUUCUGUAUUAGAGAUCCAAAGAAGAGAGUGUUCUUUGCAGGCCGCCUCGUUGUUCCUCUCUUCUUUCUUUUUACUAUCUUCUUUUACAUAGUUACAUGAGAUUUUUUACUUCAGUUCUUUAUAAUUAAUGUUUCUUUGUCAUCAUUCUUCUCUGUAAUAUAUUCAAAUGUAUUUGUUAGUGUUAGUUCAUCAGAAAAUAGCUGGCUUAAGAAAGUCAUUGUUGAUAAUUCUUUAACGUAUUCAUCGGCUAAUUGUUGCCAUGACUUCUUUGAACAAAAGCUGUUGGCUACAUCUGAUGAGUCCAUACCUAUACACUAAUUUAUUUUCUCAUUAGCCGGUAAAUAAAAUAUUUUUUUUCACUCAGCAUAUAGAAACCACUUAUACGAGAUCAUUAUUGACAGUUUCCUAUUUUGGUUUGUUUUGUUUUAAUUACAGGUUUCGAUCUUUGUUGUGUUGUAAUAGAUGUUUGUUCGUGCGUUUUAGUGGCAAAUCACUGGUAAUCGUCUCAAUCAUACUUUAACUCUUUUUUAUUACAAGUUGAACCCACUUUUUGCUGCUAUUUUUGGAUGCGGUAAAAGUUAUCUUGUUACCAAAUUCAAAGCCGAAGCCGAAGCCGAAGCCGAGCCGAGCGACGACGGCGGCGCGAUGCUUGCUUUCUUCUUAACU